rfam:Penicillium antarcticum strain IBT 31811 PENANT_contig013, whole genome shotgun sequence.
GAAACCCCCACAACACUCUGGCCCUUACCGUUCUCUCUCUACGGAGUUUGAUCAUAUCACGACGUGGUAUGUGGCUUAUUUUAAGUGGGGAAGAUUGAAUUCGGUCCCAUUACUCAUCGCGGUACACUUGGAGUACGCUCCGUGGGUGCAGUGAUCCAUCAUACGGGUCUACAU